rnacentral:rRNA from 1 species
GACGAACGCUGGCGGCGUGCUUAACACAUGCAAGUCGAACGGAAAGGCCCUGCUUUUGUGGGGUGCUCGAGUGGCGAACGGGUGAGUAACACGUGAGUAACCUGCCCUUGACUUUGGGAUAACUUCAGGAAACUGGGGCUAAUACCGGAUAGGAGCUCCUGCUGCAUGGUGGGGGUUGGAAAGUUUCGGCGGUUGGGGAUGGACUCGCGGCUUAUCAGCUUGUUGGUGGGGUAGUGGCUUACCAAGGCUUUGACGGGUAGCCGGCCUGAGAGGGUGACCGGCCACAUUGGGACUGCGGUACGGCCCAGACUCCUACGGUAGGCAGCAGUGGGGAAUAUUGCACAAUGGGCGGACGCCUGAUGCAGCAACGCCGCGUGCGUGAUGACGGCCUUCGGGUUGUAAACCGCUUUCGCCUGUGACGAAGCGUGAGUGACGGUAAUGGGUAAAGAAGCACCGGCUAACUACGUG